AACGUAGGAGGCUAGCGUUAUCCGGAUUUAUUGGGCGUAAAGCGCGUGCAGGCGGUUUGAUAAGUUGGAUGUGAAAUCUCCCGGCUUAACUGGGAGCGGUCGUUCAAAACUAUCAGACUAGAGAAUGGGAGAGGAAGGUGGAAUUCUGGGUGUAGUGGUGAAAUGCGUAGAUAUCCGGAGGAACACCAGUGGCGAAAGCGGCCUUCUAGACCAUUUCUGACGCUAAGACGCGAAAGCUAGGGUAGCAAACGGG
rnacentral:rRNA from 1 species